GAUGAACGCUAGCUACAGGCUUAACACAUGCAAGUCGAGGGGCAGCACAGUGUAGCAAUACACGGGUGGCGACCGGCGCACGGGUGCGUAACGCGUAUCCAACCUUCCCGAUACUCUUGGAUAGCCUUCCGAAAGGGAGAUUAAUACAAGAUGGUGUUUCACUUUCGCAUGUUAUUGAAACUAAAGAUUUAUCGGUAUCGGAUGGGGAUGCGUGACAUUAGAUAGUAGGCGGGGUAACGGCCCACCUAGCCUUCGAUCAUUAGGGGUUCUGAGAGGAAGGUCCCCCACACUGGAACUGAGACACGGUCCAGACUCCUACGGGAGGCAGCAGUGAGGAAUAUUGGUCAAUGGACGAGAGUCUGAACCAGCCAAGUAGCGUGCAGGAUGACGGCCCUCUGGGGUUGUAAACUGCUUUUAGUUGGGAAUAAAAAGNGGGACGUGUCCCUAAUUGUAUGUACCAUCAGAAAAAGGACCGGCUAAUUCCGUG
rnacentral:rRNA from 1 species